rnacentral:sRNA from 1 species
CCAAUGAUCUGCCUGCUCCCUCGGAUGUUCUCUUGGCAUCUUCUGUAAACCAUCUCCCUCGCGCGUCCCAUUUAUGCCACCAAUCGCACGGCAACUUGCCAAGUGCGUCCACGUGCUCCUUUAUCAUCCAGUCGCUGGACGGAUUAAAACCCUCAAACAGUGGCCUUUGUCCAAUGAUAUCCCAGAGAGUACAUGCGAGAGUCCAUACAUCAGAGGGAAAUGACAACGGUUCAUGGAGCAAAAAGUAGGUCUCCGGAGGAGCAAGGAUGCCGGGUGUAUUGGAAUAGUGACGUUGAGUAAUAGAUGGCAGAAAUGACUCUCCAAAGUCAUUGAUAAAAAUUUUGGCUUCAGAGAGGGUCACAAGCUCACUUUCUUUCCCUAGCCAAAUGGGCACAACACCAUGAGUAGGAACGCCAUUGGACAGUGGCUUGCUAUCAAGGCGCACAAAUGGCUCAAUGUUAGGCUGACCAUAUUUUUGGUAUAAUUCUCCAGGGGAUAGCUCAUCUAUGCUGUUUGGAAAGCAAAACAUUAUGUUCCCCGCAUGGAGGUCUGCAACAAAUCCCAUUAACAAGGAGCGCCUAUAGAGCCAGCCAGAUAAAUGAAUUCCAAUAAAAAGUAUACAUACCGG